rnacentral:rRNA from 1 species
CGAGCGAGAAAGCCCUUCGGGGUGAGUAGAGCGGCGGACGGGUGAGUAACGCGUAGGAAUCUACCCAGUAGUGGGGGAUAACUAGUGGAAACGCUAGCUAAUACCGCAUACGCCCUACGGGGGAAAGCGGGGGACCUUCGGGCCUCGUGCUAUUGGAUGAGCCUGCGUAAGAUUAGCUUGUUGGUGAGGUAAUGGCUCACCAAGGCGACGAUCUUUAGCUGGUCUGAGAGGAUGAUCAGCCACACCGGGACUGAGACACGGCCCGGACUCCUACGGGAGGCAGCAGUCGGGAAUAUUGCGCAAUGGGGGAAACCCUGACGCAGCCAUGCCGCGUGUGUGAAGAAGGCCCUAGGGUUGUAAAGCACUUUCAAUUGGGAGGAAAAGCUAAUGGUUAAUAACCAUUAGCCCUGACGUUACCUUUAGAAGAAGCACCGGCUAACUCCGUGCCAGCAGCCGCGGUAAUACGGAGGGUGCAAGCGUUAAUCGGAAUUACUGGGCGUAAAGCGCGCGUAGGCGGUUUUUUAAGUCGGAUGUGAAAGCCCCGGGCUCAACCUGGGAACUGCAUCCGAUACUGGAUGACUAGAAUGCGGGAGAGGGAGGUAGAAUUCCAUGUGUAGCAGUGAAAUGCGUAGAUAUAUGGAGGAAUACCAGUGGCGAAGGCGGCCUCCUGGCUCGACAUUGACGCUGAGGUGCGAAAGCGUGGGGAGCAAACGGGAUUAGAUACCCCGGUAGUCCACGCCGUAAACGAUGUCUACUAGCUGUAGGGGUACUUGAGACCUUUGUAGCGCAGCUAACGCAAUAANUAGACCGC